UACGGAGGGGGCUAGCGUUGUUCGGAAUUACUGGGCGUAAAGCGCGCGUAGGCGGCUUUGUAAGUUAGAGGUGAAAGCCCGGAGCUCAACUCCGGAAUUGCCUUUAAGACUGCAUCGCUAGAAUCAUGGAGAGGUGAGUGGAAUUCCGAGUGUAGAGGUGAAAUUCGUAGAUAUUCGCAAGAACACCAGUGGCGAAGGCGGCUCACUGGCCCAUAACUGACGCUGAGGCACGAAAGCGUGGGGAGCAAACAGG
rnacentral:rRNA from 1 species